CAUUGGCUAACCUAUGUGAGAUAUUAAAAUAAGAAAAGACUACACUCUUUCAAGUCACUUGCAAAAGAACCCUAAUAGAUGACAUUAAGUCUAGAUUGAUAGAUUUUGUAAAUGUUGAGGGUCAAAUUUAUUGAAUUUUUUAGCAUUAGAUCUAAAAUGACAAAUUUUGUAAACAUUGAGGGCUAAAUUUGUUGAUUUUUUUUUAUAUUUAGGAUCAAAUUGAUAGAAUGUGUAAAUAUAUGAGGGCUAAUUUUGUUACUAGACCAAUAAAAAAAUUGUUUCGAUACAGCUGCUAGAGCUGUACCAAAUCGAAGCAAACUCUCAAUACUAGAUAUGACCUCAAAAUAGCAGGGGUCGAGGUCGGCCAAUGAGACAAUGGGGGAUAAGCUUCAUCGUCGAGAGGGAAACAACCCAAAUCACCAACUAAGGCCCCUAAAUGACCACUCAGUGGUAAAUGAGGUAAGGUCCAGAGACAACCAGGAGGUUUGCCUAGAAGCAACCACUCUUGGAAGAGAGUAAUAGCUCACUGAUCGAGCGCUCCUACGCUGAAGAUGAACGGGACUAAGCUAUCUGUCGAAGCUGUGGGAUAUAAAAAUGUAUUGGCAGGGGAGCGUUCCACCUUAGGAGAAAGCACCCGCGUGAGCGGGAGUAGACGAAGCGGAAGCGAGAAUGUCGGCUUGAGUAACGCAAACAUUAGUGAGAAUCUAAUGCCCCGAAAACCCAAGGGUUCCUCCGCAAGGUUCAUCUACGUAGAGUGAUUCAGGGCUUAAGAUCAGGCCGAAAGGCGUAGUUAAUGGAAAAUAGGGUAAGAAGGGGUAGAGAAAAUGCCACGAUCCAAUGUUCGAGUACCAGGCACUUCGGCGCUGAAGUAAUCCAUACUAUACUCCUAGGAAAAGCUUGAACGACCUUCAACAAAAGGGUACCUAUACCCGGAAUCGACACAAACGGUUAGGUAGAGAUACCUAGGGCCAGAAGACAACUCUCUCUAAGAAACUCGACAAAAUAGCCCUGUAACUUCGGGAGAAGGGAUGCCUCCUCAUAAAGGGGGUCACAGUGAUUAGGCCCGGGUGAUUGUUUACCAAAAACACAGGUCUCUACAAAGUCAUAAGACCAUGUAUGGCGGCUGAUGCUUGGCCAAUGCCGGAAGGUUAAGGAAGUUGGUGACCUGAUGACAGGGGAGCUGGCGACCGAAACCCUGGAGAACGACGGUCGUAACUAUAAUGGUCCUAAGGUGACUCUUGCAAAUAUCUCCAAAUUUUCCUUAAUAUCUCGAACAAUCGGGCUAAGGAUAGACUUGUCUGGUGUAGGAGAAGUCAACUUUUUAAUGAUAGUAAGUGAACCGCCUUCCACUGUACCAAUCGAAAUCCUAGCUCAACCGCAAAGAUGAUGGCUUGCUACAUGCUCGUGCUUCGACAAUAAAGCCAUUAGCAACACCACGGUGGGGAUAAGUACAUACAACCAUAAUAAGAUCUGAAAAAUUUCUAGCCAUAAUAAUUUUUUAUUAUUUCAAACUUCAUUUAUCAAUUUUUUUAAUUAAAAUUUUUAGAGUAAUGUAA